AUUUCGAUCGUAUCUACAAGGUGACGAAACUUUGUGCGAUGACAUAUAGAAAUUUGAUCAAGAUAAACAUAGACUUGAAAAUAAAAACAAUAAAAAUUCCUUUAUUUUUUUUAUUUUAAUGAAAAGAUAGUGGAUAUUAGCCAAAAAUAGAUAUAAAUAGAAAUCAAAUCCCAUUCAGACUAUUAGUUCAAUCUAAGAAUGUUUGAACAGAAAGCUACGAAUAAAAAUAUUCAACUUGAAAUUUAUCCUCAAACCCAAAUCAUUAAAAGAAAAGAAAAUUAAAUUUUAAAACAACUGCAAAAAAAAAUAUUCAUAUUGUUAAUUAGCGGUUUCCAUUUAUUCCAUGUGGAAGAAAUCUACCAAAAGUUAGAAAUAAAUAGCAGAGUCAGUAACAUGCAAACCAUGACCUAUGUUUAUCACAAUCAUCACCCUAACUAUAUUGUUAAUCCAAAAAAAAAUUAUCAUUUUUGGAUAAGGGAAGUUGGGCCAUCUCUUAAUCUACUGAUUGAAGCAUUGGGCCUAGCAAAUGAACUUGUUCUGCCCGCGCCCUUUGUUACACCUAGUUCCAUUGAACCCAAACAUACAAUCAGCUCAAACUCUCAUGAACCAUUAAUAAACCAACUAUCCUUGGAAAUACAAUCACUGAAUCAAUAGAGAAGGAGACGGCACAAAUGGCAACAAAGAAAUCAAUUCAUAAAGCAUGUGACAAAAUUACCAAAACUAGCAACGACAAUGAAUUUGAAAGUAUUGAAACACAACGUAAAUUACCAAAUAAAGAAAUGAAUUAAAAUUGAACCUUUAUUAUGGAAUAUGUUCCCCAAUGUGUACAACACGAAAUAGAGCUCUGAAAGUUCUCCGAUGAGCUUAUCGAUCAGAAUUUGAACUGGAAUCGACGACCUCGAACCGCCUCGACUCGAACUCGUUGAUAACCUGUGCUAUGUUCUCGGUGUUUGGAGUGUGGAGGCUGAUUUUUGGACUGUUUUUCGAGCAGAUUUUCGCUGGGUUUUGGGGGCUAUUUUUUAGUUGGAAUCGGGGUUGUUUGGGGCUGCUUUAGGGAAGGGUUUGCGGCUGGUAUUUCAAAGGUGCUUCAAGAGUGUUUUAGGAUGAAAUUGAGCACAUUUUUAGCUACUAUUUCAAAGCAAAAGAAGGUGUAUUUUAAUGGAUAAAAAUGGACAAAAGAAGGGAAUUAUGGGUCGAAGAGCUAUGGAGCUUAAGGGAUUCUUUCAAUGGCUGAUUUUUUAGUUUUUUAUCGAGCUUGAAAUGCAGAAGCAGAAUGUAUUUUCGUUCUCUCUUUGUUCCCGUUUUCUUUUUCAUUUCUUUUCCUCCGUUUCCUCACCUUUUCCCUAGGUGUUCGUUCACCAGAUAUCCCUUUUUUGGUGUUCUCCGUUGAAGAAAGGGAUGACAAGGAAGGGUUCCUUUCUUUGUGAAAUGCGGCGCUACUCUUUUUUGUGUUCAAGAAAGGAGCCUCUGAUUUUUUCCUUGUUUUUCUGUCCCUAUUCUUCUUAGUCUAAAUAGGCAGUAGAAAAUGUUCCUUUGAUUCA
rnacentral:lncRNA from 1 species